AAGCGAAACCACCCCGGCCUGGCCGGGGCUGGUCUGCCCAGCGUGGUGGCUGGGUGCUGAUGAGCAGCCCUAU
rnacentral:hammerhead_ribozyme from 1 species